rnacentral:rRNA from 1 species
ACGGAGGGUGCAAGCGUUAUCCGGAUUUAUUGGGUUUAAAGGGUGCGCAGGCGGGCUGAUCAGUCAGUGGUGAAAUCCCGGGGCUUAACUCCGGAACUGCCAUUGAUACUGUCAGUCUUGAAUACGGUUGAGGUAGGCGGAAUGUAGCAUGUAGCGGUGAAAUGCAUAGAUAUGCUACAGAACACCGAUCGCGAAGGCAGCUUACCAAGCCGAUAUUGACGCUCAGGCACGAAAGCGUGGGGAGCGAACAGG